rnacentral:rRNA from 1 species
UACGAAGGGGGCUAGCGUUGCUCGGAAUCACUAGGCGUAAAGGGUGCGUAGGCGGGUCUUUAAGUCAGGGGUGAAAUCCUGGAGCUCAACUCCAGAACUGCCUUUGAUACUGAGGAUCUUGAGUACGGGAGAGGUGAGUGGAACUGCGAGUGUAGAGGUGAAAAUUCGUAGAUAUUCGCAAGAACACCAGUGGCGAAGGCGGCUCACUGGCCCGGUACUGACGCUGAGGUGCGAAAGCGUGGGGAGCAAACAGG